UGAGUUUGAAAAUUGUUUGGAUCCAAUUGUCUUUACUUGACACUUUCCACACCGAAAAGCAAAAAUGUGUUUGAACCAAAAAAAUUAAGGAAAGGAAAAAGAAAAAGGUGAUUAAGGGGCGGGCUUCUUCACUUUGCUUUUCUAAUUAAAGUAGCCUCCACUCUGUGGACGAAGCAACCAAUUCUGCCCUCACCGUCAACGAUUCUUCCUGGAAAGCACCAUCAUUUUCAUUUGUCACCAAACUUCCAUCACUACACCUUUUCAUAGCUAUUAUGAUGGAGAUUCGUUUUGAAGAAAAAAAAGGUAGGACAUGUAUAGAGAAAUUGCUUAGAAACCUGUGUCCGCUUUCCCUUUCUUGAUGCUCCUAUACUUGAUCUGUUUGUAGUUUCUUUCUGCAUAUUGAGCCACCUUAUUUUCUGGUUUUCCCAAACUAGAUUGUCUUAUCUUUUUCCUUCUCAGACUUCCUCAUGUCCUCGUUGCUGUCAACUUCCUCGUCUAUUCCUAGACAAAAAGAAUAUGACGUAUUCUUGAGUUUUAGAGGUGAAGAUACUCGUCAUAACUUCACAGACCAUCUCUGUGAUGCUUUGAGAAGGAGCGGAAUAGUCACUUUCAGGGAUGAUCCAAAGCUGGAGGCCGGCGAAGAGAUCGCUCCUGAGCUCUUCAAAGCAAUUCAACAAUCAUGGUGCUCACUAAUCGUUUUCUCGGAAAACUAUGCCUUUUCAGGUUGGUGCUUGGAGGAACUUGCAGAGAUUGUUAAACAAAAAAGGGAGAAUGGACAUAAAGUAUUUCCAAUUUUCCAUGGUGUGGAUCCAUCUGAUUUAAGAAAACAAAAAGAGAAAGUUGAAGCAGCUUUUGCCAAACAUGAAGAGAGAUACAAGGAAGAUGAAGCAAAGAUCCAAAGGUGGAGAAAUGCUUUAACUGAAGUGGCUAAUAUCAAGGGAUAGCACUCAAAUAAUAGGCAUGAAUCAGAAUUUAUUGGAGACAUUGUUAAAAAAAUAUCAGCAAAGUUAUGUCAAACAUAUCCAAUUGUCCAUGAUGAUAAGUUAGUUGGAAUUAGUCCAAGCUUGGACGAUUUGCAUUUGGAAAUAGAAAUUGGGGAAGAUGAUAUCCGUAUCAUAGGAAUUUGUGGUAUGGGUGGCAUUGGCAAAACGACUCUUGCGAGAGUUGUUUAUUAUCAAAUGUCACAUCAUUUCGAAGGUAAAAGCUUUCUUGCUGACGUUCGAGAAGUUUCAGAGAAAUGUGGACUUGUUUCUUUACAGAAACAACUACUUUCCCAAAUAUUGUUUGAUGAAAGCUUCAAUUUUUUCAAUGUUCAUGAAGGGAAAGUCAUAAUUAGCCGCAGGUUCUCUCACAAAAGAGUUCUUGUUGUUCUUGAUGAUGUUGAUAACCUACAGCACUUGAAAUGCUCGGUUGGAAGGCGUGAUUGGUUCGGUGUAGGGAGUAGAAUCAUUGUAACAACAAGAGAUGAACAUUUGCUCCGAUCUUAUCGAGUUGAUGGUGUGUAUAAGCCUACAGCAUUGAAAGCCAAUGAUGCACUUCAUCUUUUCAAUUUGAAAGCUUUCGGUUGCAAGACAGCGCCAAAAGAGGAUUUCAUUGAGCUUGCUAAACAUAUCGUAGGUUAUGCUGGUGGACUCCCAUUAGCUCUUGAAGUUUUGGGUUCUUUUCUGUGUGAUAGAGAUGCAAGGCAAUGGAAAAGUACAAUAGAAAGACUUGAAAGAGAUUCUAACAAAGAAAUUCUUGACAGACUCCAAAUAAGUUUUGAUGGACUGGAAGAAAGGGAGAAGAAUAUAUUUCUAGAUAUAGCAUGCUUCUUUAAUGGGGAGGAGAAAGAUUUUGUAAUGAAAGUACUGGAUGGUUGUGAGUUUUGUCCAGAUAUUGGAAUCGAUGUUCUCAUAAAAAAAUCUCUACUAACUGUUAAUAAAUGCAAUCGAUUGCAAAUGCAUGACUUGCUACAAGAAAUGGGAAGAAAAAUUGUUAGAGAAAAAUCUGUUGAUGAACCUGGAAAACGUUGCAGAUUGUGGGCGGAAAGAGAUGUCUAUCAUGUGCUAACAACAAAAACUGCUACAAAAACGAUUGAAGGCAUAAUCAUCGACAAUAAAAGGUACAUGAGAAAACAUACACAUAUGUAUCUAUGUAAAAUGUUGAUGUUGUUGUUGUUGUUUUUUCUUGUGAAAAUAAUAAAAUCUUCAAUGCUUAACAUUUCAAAAAAAAAAAAAUAGUGGCAUGUGUUAUGAAAAAUAAUAUAGUAGUUAAAGAGUAUGUUUAAUGUAAUUGUGAAAGUUCGUUAUAUAUAUUUUGGUGUAAUCGCAAUGUCAUUGCAUUAGCAUGUAUUUAUUUUCUUGCAUUUUCUCUUUAGUCAAACACUUUAUUUGUCUGUAUAUCAUGGUUUCUAGCAGUGUGAGUUUGUGAAUAUCAACUCCAAUAUUUCAACUACGUUAUUCAAAUUUGGAUGUAGGUGUCAUAUAUACAUGUGUUUGGUAUGAGAAUAUUCAUUUUCUUUUACAUUUUCAUUGUUUUUGAGAUUCCUUGAAGGCUCUCUCAUGUAUAUGUAUAAUCAUAUUCUUAUUCUACCUUGGGAAAUCAGUGAGACUCUCACUUUGAGUGCUGAUGUCUUCUUGAAGAUGAAAAGAUUAAGACUACUCAAAAUCCUUUGCCGGACAAAUUGUUAUGAUCUGACGUAUCUUUCUAACGAGUUACGACUUUUAGUUUGGACGGGAUGUCCUUUAAGGUCAUUACUUUCAAGUUUGAAACCAGAAAACCUUGUUAUACUUCUCCUACCUUAUAGCAACAUUGAACAACUAUGGAAUGUAAACAUGCCCCUGUAUAAGUUGAAAGUGCUCAACCUAAAAGGGUCUGAAAAACUGAUCAAGGCACCAGACUUCACAACUGCCCCAAAUCUUGAAAUUUUGGUUUUGGAAGGAUGUACUAGAUUAGUAUAUGUUCAUCCAUCUGUUGGAGUUCUUACGAGGCUUAAGCUUUUGAAUUUAAGAGGCUGCAAAAGUCUGAGGAGUUUUCCAACCAAAAUUAGAAUGGAAUCUCUUGAAAUGUUAAGUCUUUCAGGUUGCUCAAAACUUCAAAGCUUUCCAGAGAUUGAUGGGAAAAUGGAAUGUUUGUUGGAGCUUUGUUUUGAUGGGACAAACAUUAAAGAGCUACCUUCUUCAAUCAGAAAUCUCAGAAGACUUGAAGUUUUGAAUUUAAAAGACUGUAAAAGUCUUAGGAGUCUUCCAACCAAAUUUGGAAUGGAAUCUCUUGAAAAGUUAAUUCUUUCAGGUUGCUCAAAUCUUCAAAGCUUGCCAGAGAUUGAUGGGAAAAUGGAAUGUUUAUUGGAGCUUUGUUUUGAUGGGACAAACAUUAAAGAGCUACCUUCUUCAAUCGGAAAUCUUAGAAGACUUAAAGUUUUGAAUCUAAAAGACUGCAAAAGUCUUAGGAGUCUUCCAAUCAAAAUUGGAAUGGAAUCUCUUAAAAAGUUAAUUCUUUCAGGUUGCUCCAAUCUUAAAAGGUUUCCAGAGAUUGAUGGCAAAAUGGAAUGCCUGCUAGAGCUCUAUUUAGAUGGGUCGGGCAUUAAAGAGCUACCUAUUUCAAUUGGAAAUCUGAGCAGUCUUGUUUUGUUAAAUUUGAAAGAUUGCAGGAACCUUGUGGAUCUCCCAGGGAGCAUAGGUGGGUGUAAAAGUUUAAAAUCUCUUAAUCUUUCUGGCUGUUAUAAAGUCGAAUAUUUGCCAGAGAAUUUGCAGCAAAUAGAAUUCUUGGAGGAGCUUGACUUAAGUGAAACAUCCAUGACAAAACCACCAUCCUUGAUUUUUCAAUUUAAAAAUCUUAAAGUUCUGUCUUUUAAUGGGAGCAAGGGAUCUUCUUCCAAGUUACAAAAAUAUCUGCCUUCUCUGUUAAAGGUAAUCCAAAGAGAAAGGACAAAUUCCAUGGCUCUGAUGUUGCCUUCGUUGUUAGGUUUGAGUUCAUUAACAAGGCUGAAUCUAAGGUACUGCAAUCUUUGUGAAGGAGAUAUUCCUGGUGAUAUUUCUCGCUUAUCCUCUUUGAAAAAACUUGAUCUUGGUGGUAACAAUUUCGUCAGCAUACCUUCGUGUCUUACUCAAUUUUCCAAGCUUCAAUUUCUUUUUUUGUCAAAUUGCAAGGCGCUUAAAUCGUUGCCUGAGCUCCAACAUGUAUAGAGGAUGUAAGCGUAAGUGGUUGUACUUCUCUGGAAAUAAUUGCAAAUCCAUCAAAAGUUUGCAAUUCAAAGGACUGGGUAGAUAUAGUAGGUGCUAAUUGCUUCAGAUUGGCUGAGAACAUCGAUGCCUUAACAUUGCUGAAAAAGCAUCUAAAGGUUCGUUAAUAUCUCUGUUUCUCUGUCUUAUAAUUAUUCAUCUUGUCUCUUACCAAACAACCAGAGGUUUAUUUUGCAGGUAGUUGGAAAUUCAAGAAAGAAGUUUGAUAUUAUUAUACCUGGAAGUGAAAUGCCAGAAUGGUUUAGUCAACAAAGAGGUGAGUCUUCGAUUAAGAUAGAUCUGCCUCUGGAAGUUCGGAAUGAUAGUCAAUGGAUGGGAGUUGCUUUGUGCCGCAUUUUUGUCAGUGAUGAUGCUUCAAGGAAGGCGCAUGUCUCGUGUAGAGCUGUUAUCCAUGGUAGAUAUUCGAGACAAGCCAAUUGCACUCAAUCUAAUUUCCAGGGUAGAUAUCCUCGAGUAGUCGAUUGUAGUGGCUUGAUUGCAAAUUUUGGUCUAGAGCAGCCCAUAAUGAAGGACCAGAUUUUCAUUCGUUAUUUCUCUCGUGACAAGUUGUAUCCAAUUUCCUUGGAAGACAAAUGUGGUGAACGUGAAACCAAUAAUUUAUGGAAAACAGAUUGCUUAGAUCAGGAAUGCCAUCAACUUGAGCUGUCCUUCGAAAGAGAUGACAGUGUUAAGGUGAAGAAGUGUGGUGUUAGAAUAGUGUAUGAGAGAGACUUGGAAGAAACACAAGUGCUGCAUAGUAGUCAGUGUUGUGCAAAUUUUGAAGAUAUCCAGCAACACUUUGUUGAUGAUGGAUCAAUAGGUAACGGUUCCCUAAUAAAGCGAAAACGUAAUAUGUAUGAGGAGAUGGAUGAAGGGCCGCAACCGAAACGAAUGCAAAAAAAUUUCAAUUCUAUAAUGGGCAGACUUGGGAAGAAGCACUAAUUGUGGUGAACUACUUCAUUGGCCUUCUCCUAUUAAAUUUUUUUUCUAUGACUUUUUUUAAUCUAUCAUUAUUUCAUUUAAAGUAUUCACUUUCCAUAUAUUUACUCUACAAUAAAUGAGAUACAAUCUUUUAAAUAUAUAUAA